CCUACGGGAGGCAGCAGUGAGGAAUAUUGGUCAAUGGACGAGAGUCUGAACCAGCCAAGUAGCGUGAAGGAUGACUGCCCUAUGGGUUGUAAACUUCUUUUAUAUGGGAAUAAAAUGUUCUAUGUGUGGGCUUUUGUAUGUACCAUAUGAAUAAGGAUCGGCUAACUCCGUGCCAGCAGCCGCGGUAAUACGGAGGAUCCGAGCGUUAUCCGGAUUUAUUGGGUUUAAAGGGAGCGUAGGUGGAUUGUUAAGUCAGUUGUGAAAGUUUGCGGCUCAACCGUAAAAUUGCAGUUGAAACUGGCAGUCUUGAGUACAGUAGAGGUGGGCGGAAUUCGUGGUGUAGCGGUGAAAUGCUUAGAUAUCACGAAGAACUCCGAGUGCGAAGGCAGCUCACUGGACUGCAACUGACACUGAGGCUCGAAAGUGUGGGUAUCAAACAGGAUUAGAUACCCGUGUAGUC
rnacentral:rRNA from 1 species